rnacentral:rRNA from 1 species
UGGGGAAUUUUGCACAAUGGGGGAAACCCUGAUGCAGCGACGCCGCGUGAUUUAGAAGACCUUCGGGUUGUAAAAAUCUUUUCUAUGGGAAGAAAAUGACAGUACCAUAGGAAUAAGGACCGGCUAAUUACGUGCCAGCAGCCGCGGUAAUACGUAAGGUCCGAGCGUUGUCCGGAAUCAUUGGGCGUAAAGGGUACGUAGGCGGGUAAGCAAGUUAGAAGUGAAAUCCUAUAGCUCAACUAUAGUAAGCUUUUAAAACUGCUCAUCUUGAGGUAUGGAAGGGAAAGUGGAAUUCCUAGUGUAGCGGUGAAAUGCGCAGAUAUUAGGAGGAAUACCGGUGGCGAAGGCGACUUUCUGGCCAUAACCUGACGCUGAGGUACGAAAGCGUGGGUAGCAAACAGG